CCUACGGGUGGCAGCAGUGGGGAAUAUUGCACAGUGGGCGCAAGCCUGAUGCAGCCAUGCCGCGUGUGUGAAGAAGGCCUUCGGGUUGUAAAGCACUUUCAGCGGGGAGGAAGGCGUUAAGGUUAAUAACCUUGUCGAUUGACGUUACCCGCAGAAGAAGCACCGGCUAACUCCGUGCCAGCAGCCGCGGUAAUACGGAGGGUGCAAGCGUUAAUCGGAAUUACUGGGCGUAAAGCGCACGCAGGCGGUCUGUCAAGUCGGAUGUGAAAUCCCCGGGCUCAACCUGGGAACUGCAUUCGAAACUGGCAGGCUAGAGUCUUGUAGAGGGGGGUAGAAUUCCAGGUGUAGCGGUGAAAUGCGUAGAGAUCUGGAGGAAUACCGGUGGCGAAGGCGGCCCCCUGGACAAAGACUGACGCUCAGGUGCGAAAGCGUGGGGAGCAGACAGGAUUAGAUACCCUAGUAGUC
rnacentral:rRNA from 1 species